rnacentral:rRNA from 1 species
UCGAGAAUAUUUAGCAAUGGACGAAAGUCUGACUAUGCGACGCCGCGUGCAGGAUGAAGGUUUUCGGAUCGUAAACUGCUUUUGUUAGGAAAGAAAAUGCUAGACCUAAUAAGUCUAGAACUGACGGUACCUAACGAAUAAGCCACGGCCAACUCCGUGCCAGCAGCCGCGGUAAUACGGAGGUGGCAAGCGUUACUCGGAAUCAUUGGGUGUAAAGGGCAAGUAGGCGGUUUAAUAAGUGAGGGGUGAAAUCUCCCGGCUCAAUCGGGAAACUGCCUUUCAAACUGUUAAACUUGAGGAUGGUAGAGGAAAGCGGAAUUUCCGGUGUAAGGGUGAAAUCUGUGGAUAUCGGGAAGAACAUCAACGGCGAAGGCAGCUUUCUGGGCCAUCUCUGACGCUGAAUUGCGAAAGCUAGGGGAGCAAACAGA